ensembl:lncRNA
GUUUUGUCUUUGGUUGUAUUAAAACUUCACAAGCCAAUCCGAAUAAAGUCUCGACGUGUAAAGGGCGGGACUAAUGCAGCAGGUUAGCGUGGGGAGUAGUGAGCACAUGUAGAGAAAGAAACCUGACCGGACUGAGAGCUAAGAGGAGGCAUCGUAGUGUGGGAAGCAGUUAAGUUUUAUCGUGAGGUCGACUACUCGUGGUCCUGAUUUAAACUUCUUUGUGACCUGCAAAAAGGAGCUGGACGUUGGAGAGAGGGGUUUCCAGCAGAUGGCCUUGCUGUUUUCUGUGUUUUCUUCCUUGUGACUUCGCCACCGCCAUUGCCCACGUGUGUGUUUGGAUUGCCACCGCCAUUGCCAUUAUCUUCGUGAGAAUAUCAUCCCCCAAUCCCUUUCUGCCCCUACUAAUUACACCCUGGAUUUCGUGAGUACUGACUUACACAUUGCACGUGCUUUUAUUUUGAGCUCAAGCUGAGUGAAGCGGCCAGUACAGUUUUUAGGCCCCACCACACACAAGCUUCAACUAACAGGCCUGCAACGGGUUAACCUAAUUUAAAGUGUUGUUGUUAAUUUGGUUGUGUGUGGUACAUUGAGUUUGCAUUGUUGUAAAUUGGAGAAUCCCGUGCAUCUGAUUUUAUUUUAUUUGUUUAUUUGUUUUCUUUUCCUAAAAUACAUUCGACUAGUAUUUCAUUUUGUGAAUAAAUAUGUGAUUGAAUACUUUUACAUUUAAAAUACAGUUGUGGUGGUCAUUUAUUAAAAUUAUCUAACAGUAAUAUAUGAAUAAAAGUUGUAGUUUCCUACAACGAGCCCAGGCCCAGUCUUAUUGUAUUAACCACUCUAGAUUUAUUAUUUAACUACAUGGGACAAGGGUUACACAUGUAUGCACUUAUUCCGAAUAGAUUGGGGUUUAACUUAGGGCAGCCGCAGUAGUUCUAAUGGUCCACUGAGCUCCGUCGGUACUUUUAAGCACACCGAACUUCACCGCUGUCAAGGAAAGUGGAUUUAUUGCCUG